UACGGAGGGGGCUAGCGUUGUUCGGAAUUACUGGGCGUAAAGCGCGCGUAGGCGGACCUGCAAGUCGGGGGUGAAAGCCCGAGGCUCAACCUCGGAACUGCCUUCGAUACUGCGGGUCUCGAGUCCGGGAGAGGUGAGUGGAAUUCCUAGUGUAGAGGUGAAAUUCGUAGAUAUCAGGAGGAACACCGGUGGCGAAGGCGGGUCUCUGGGCCGAUAUCGACGCUGAGGAGCGAAAGCGCGGGGAGCAAACAGG
rnacentral:rRNA from 1 species